AAGAUUAAGCCAUGCAUGUCCAAGUAUAAACCUUUAUACGGUGAAACUGCGAAUGGCUCAUUAUAUCAGUUAUAAUUUACUUGAUGGUCUCUUUACUACUUGGAUAACCGUGGUAAUUCUAGAGCUAAUACAUGCAAAGGGCCCGCAAGGGCGGUAUUUAUUAGAUAAGAACCAAUGCCAGCAAUGGCGUGUGGCGAGUCAUGAUAACUGUGCGGAUCGCAUGGCCCUGUGCC
rnacentral:rRNA from 1 species